CCCCUCUCCCUUUACCGGUUACGCCAAUACUCCCUUCUCCCCUCAAAAGACAAAAUAUUCUAACUCUGAUCAGCAAGAUUACACUCAAGCACCCAACUUUGACUUAAGAAAAGAAGAAGAGUAUCCAGAAUAUAAAACUGACCACUAAUCUUGCAUUAGCUAAGAUAAGGUACUCUUAUCUUUGCUUCAAAAAAUCAGAUGAGAAGAUACUUCUUCUAAUGCAUCUAUCUUUUUAUCAUUUGGAACAUUUCAUCACCCACAAAAAAGAGAUAAAAAGAAGGAAACCACCUGCUUAUUCCAUUUGAGGCAAAUUUCUAUGUUGAUUCAACCACUGUAGAUGUUUUCAACAAAAUAUACUUGUCUAAAUUCUCUUUAAUUUGUGGCAUAUCCAGAGAUUCCAUCCUUAGUGUACUCCUCAAGCUUUUACUAGCAUACGACUGAACAACUGUUAAUACUGUUCAAGCAUUGAUGAAAAUGUGUAAACAGUUUCAUGCUAAGUAGGCCGUGACUAUUGGGAUAGGGGUAAGGUCCACGUACACUCUACCCUCCCCUGGCCCCUCUUUCUGGGGUUAUACCGAGUACAUAUUGUUGAAAGUCUUUGACUUCACAUUUCCACAUCAAGGUUUCGGGAAAAUAGAUUACGAUGAUUAUCAAGUAUACAGAAAGAAGUCCUGUGAGCCAAUGAAUAAAGGGUUGGCACUAACUGUAGCUUAGAUAGGUCAAUGUAGAAGGUAUUCUAGAUAAAAGGGAUUCUUACACAUCAGAUACUUUUGUUGUAUUACGGCAUAGAUUCCUCCUGUAGUUUUUGUUUUCACUAGAAUAUAACUGCAAGAUUUGA